rnacentral:rRNA from 1 species
CCUACGGGAGGCAGCAGUGGGGGAUAUUGCACAAUGGGGGAAACCCUGAUGCAGUGACGCCGCGUGUGGGAAGACGGUCCUCUGGAUUGUAAACCACUGUCCCCAGGGACGAAGAUGACGGUACCUGGGGAGGAAGCUCCGGCUAACUACGUGCCAGCAGCCGCGGUAAUACGUAGGGAGCGAGCGUUGUCCGGAAUUACUGGGUGAAAAGGGAGCGUAGGCGGGACUGCAAGUUGGGUGUCAAAUCUACCGGCUCAACCGGUAGCCGCACUCAAAACUGCAGUUCUUGAGUGAAGUAGAGGCAGGCGGAAUUCCUAGUGUAGCGGUGAAAUGCGUAGAUAUUAGGAGGAACACCAGUGGCGAAGGCGGCCUGCUGGGCUUUUACUGACGCUGAGGCUCGAAAGUGUGGGGAGCAAACAGGAUUAGAUACCCGGGUAGUC